rnacentral:lncRNA from 1 species
ACAUCAUUCAUGCAUCAACUAAGUCAAAUGUGCGUCUGACAGAAGGUCUGUUCAAAGACUCUCAGAGGAACGUCUGCUUCCUCACAACAAGCGUGAGCAGGUUUCAUAAGUCUGUUUUUUUUUUUUGCAUAAAUUCACAUGUUCUGACUAACUACCCUGAGCGUGAGGAGAGCUCCUCCAUUUCGACUCUAAUGGUCCAUCGUGUGCUCAUUUCCAUUUCAGAUCCACACAACCUGAUGACAAAACUCUCCUCCUGAACUUGACGUCUAACUUUCCCGUAUCGUUAAAGUUGUGAAGUGGACGACCCGCGCACCCUUCGCCCACAGCCCCUCCUUACAGCUUCAGAUCCCCUGAACCCUCCCCUCAGUGUGGGUUCGACUAAACAAUGUACCAGCAGAUGCUUUUAUGAAAACAGCAGUCUGAAAAAAAACAACAAAGAGGAAAAAUUAACAGUUUCAACAAUAACAUCCAUACAGCAGAUCUCCCAAAGCCAAAUCCAUCUGCCAAAAAAAGACCUUUUCACCCAGCAAUGCUGCAAAUGUGUCUUUUCAUCUAGAUCUCCAAAUCCAUUGGCUGUGCUGGAACUAAAAUAAGACCCCUGCUAUGGCUGCCAAUGUUUCAGAGCUGAUUCCAGGCCUGCUCCUUUUUCUCCUUUUCACACAGACUGUUCUGCUGCAUACGACUAACACCAACACCGGGCCAAAACUGAAAAAUAAUGAUAAAAAAAACUGAGUAUGUUUCAGUAUCAGACUGAUUUCUGCCUGAAAACAAUCUCAGAUCAGGAACCAUCUGGGGAUCUCCUGAGAUUACCGUGAAGUUUGAGGACUUUGGUUUGUAAUAAACGACUUUGAAGACUCCACCCAAACACAACUCACCUACUCUCUUCCAGCACCUGCUAGUUUGUAGCAAGACCUCUGGGCCAGUCCAUUACGGACUACAGUGGUGUGACACAACUCAAGGAAGAACAUUUAUGAUCAUUUCUUCAUGGAAAUGCAAUCAGAUCGAGAUGCUAAGGCAGAAGAACUACCGCGUCUGCAGUGCAAAAUGAUUAAUAUGAUGAUUAUUACUUCAAGGAAAUGAUAAAGAAAUGAUCAAAAAUGUUCUUCCUUGAGCUGCGUUACCCCGCUGUAGUCCGUUAUGGACUGGCCUGAGGUCACACUACAAACAAGCGGCUGCUGGAAGAGAGUAGGUGACUUGUGUUUAGUCUCUUUGCUAAAGAAAUUAGUCAAAGUUAAAAAGAUGUUCGGUGGCUAGUACUAUGGCUGGGACCCUAUAUGUCCUGUUGAUGAAGUUAGGUGCUGUUCUGAGCAUUAUUUGUGGCUACAGAGUGGCGUUUUGGUUGAGGUUUGUUUAUGGCUUCUCAGACCGCUGUGUAUUGCUAUCCUGCGGUCGUUACUAAAGUUGGUAUAACUAGAGAAGCAAGCGGUCGGCAACAUUCAUUUCUGGAGGGGGUGUCUAACUCAGUGUUAUGGUGUGUUUGACCCUAAAUUAUUUUUACACUGGAAUAUCCCUUUAAUGAACAGAUAGACUGUCAGCUGACCUUUAAAACAGAUAUCUGUUCACACAGAAAAGUAAACUGUCAUCGGUUUACUCUUGCUGGACGUCGGGAUGUCAAUGCCGUGGAUUGUGUUCUUCACAGAGAAACCAAAGCCCGACCACUCUUUGUAUUUAAUUCAUUUUUCAUUCUUUUUUUUUUCACGUUUAAUAUUUACAUGUCGAUUAACCCUUUAGGCUCAGAGUCUAUUCCUCUUCCUGGUGUUUAUUAGACUUACCUGGAUAGUCUGUUAUUGUAAAGACUGAGUAUCUUCAGACGAUGGCGGGCUUUCUGUUUGUGGUUAUUUUGUACCAACUAGAUUUAUGCUAACUGCCCUGACAGUGUUGUAAUGUUCAGUCCAUAACACCCGAAAAGGCGUCGAAUACAAUCCUUUACAUUCAUUAGAAAAUAACUGUUUGGCCUUCAUCCCUCGGAGGGUCUUUUUCCUCCACAUGACUUUUCGUCUUCAUCGUCAAUGAGCCGUUUGUUUCUUCUUCACGCCUAAAUGCCCCUUUUGUCUUUGCUCUUAACAUCACUAUGUCUCAUUAUCAAUAACAAUGUUUUCAGGACAAUUGUUUUCCAUUAAUCCCUCGGCUCUGUGCAUUUCACUGCACACGAGCUGUUGUAGCAUCCCAUUAAAUCCACACUGAACCACCCACCUUUCAUCCUUUCAUUUCAGCUCCAGUUUUUUUUUUCCAGUCAUUUUUCACAGCUGACUCCCCCAUCUUUCACCUCUCUUUUCCCUCUCCCGCCUCGUCCUCCACGGGUUCACCUCCUCCUCUCCGUCUAAUGGAAGCUAAUGUUUGUGAUUUAUGGUUAUUUUUCCAGCAGCCGCUUUGCAGAGAAGCAGAGAAACAUUGGGCCAUAUAAAAAGUGUAAAUCCUGGAACAAUUUAACCCCUGAAAGUCUCAGACUGAACGGAGCAACCUUUCUCUGUGUUUCAUCUUUAUCUACAGUUCAGAGAUUAAUCUUGUUUGUUGUGUUGGGAGCUGGCAUUUUCUCACUUUUAUGAUAGAUCUCAGUGUGGUUAAUUAGUCUGGCGACCACUUUCAUUUCCAGCCUGAAGUCGGCUAACCUUAAUGUGCUCUGUACAGUAAUCUGAAAUUAAUGGCCAUUAUCAUUUCAGGCGUUUCAGGCUUUUAGUUAGCCACUGUGUGUCUCUCUCGGCUGGAGGUUUUUCCAUGUGUCUGUGCGUGUGUGUGUGUGUGUGUGUGUGUGUGUGUGUGUGUGUGUGUGUGUGUGUGUGUGUGUGUGUGUGUGUGUGUGUGUGAAUCAGAAAUGUGUCUAUUCCUGCAGAUGCUCCUGUGAUUCUGUGCUGAUCGAUUAUCAGGUCACAUGACCUUAAAUCACAAACUGAUGGCGUCUGUUUAUCUCCCUGUUGUUCCUGGUGGAGCUUCUCGAUGUUCCCUAAAUGUUAAUCCUGGAGCUGAGGGAGUGUUUCUGUGCCGCUUCCUCUGUCCUCAAAGGUGAUUCCAGGAUUUUAUGACCCUCAUUUUACGUCAUGUGGAAUCUAAAUGACCACAAUAAGAAGUUGCAGGACGUGUCCGAUGAAAGACACGAGGCUAAUCCUGAGUCUUGCGCACUAAUCUCACUCAGUAAAUCACAAAAAAACUAGGUUUCUUUUCAGGAGUUAACAGCUGAAUUCAGCUGACAGGAGCCUGUGUGUAGCUUGCUAAUUACAGUAAAACUGACCCCGAAUUUCCACCACAUCCUGAACGACAGUGAUUUUUGCCAUCUGCCAGUUCCUAUCAGAUACAUUUGUGAGGCAAAUUUCUUGGUGGAUUACGGACAGCAGGAAUCACGGGAACUCACAAGAACCCAUAAAGACAGCAACAUAGAUGUAUAAGCAGUAGAUUGUGUCCUUCCAGAGGAGGAAAUCUACCUUUAGACUUCUAGAAUCAGCAUCUCCUCAUCCAUGGUGUCAUCGGGGUGAAAUGACGUGUAAAAACCUUUAACUUGUUCGUCUCCAACCGUUUGCAUGCUGUGAAAUACGAUCCGCCUGAAACACAGUGUUUUAUUUUGAAAAGAAGCCAGAUGUUUUAUUUUGUGUCUGUGCCCGACUUCCUUUCCAGCAUGGGUUAAUCUGUGCUGAAUUUAUCCGGCAUGCUCCGGCAUCCGGAAAAAAUAGAAAUCUUGUGAUCAGCUAUGGAGUCCGGCAAUCCGCAGCGGAACAUAAAGAAGCCGGUGGAAAUUGACAUGUUAACUUGAAUGGUUACGAUCAGCUACGAUCGGCAGAUACAACCUUUUUGUAGCCAUUCCGGAUGCAGUGGAAACUGGGGGUUAGACUCAACAGAAACACCAGUCAUGAUCCUAUUAAAACAAAAUUAAGACCUGUUCAUUAUCAAAGAAAACUGGUUUCUCUUGAGGAGUUCAUACUGAUGAAAUAAUCUUGACUUACAGUGAAGCUGAGACUAAACAGUUAACAACAAGUAGAUAUAAAGCAAACAGAUUUUUUAUCCAGGAUGAUGACACUGAAUAAGCUCGAAAUCAGAAUUACAGCUAAACUGAGACUCUCUGAAAAUCACAAGAACAAUGUAUUUACUUAAGUUGAAAAAAGCCAGAGAGAGCAGCCUGACUGUAAUGAAACACUCACAGUGAAGCUGAGACUCACCAGAAAUCUAAAUAAGUAUGUCAUAGGUGCAAACUCAACACCAAGCUGUUACAGGUUAUUAAGAAGUAAACUGGUUUCUUAUCCAGGAUAAUGAUGCUUUAGUAAUUCAGAGUGAAGAUCCUUUUAGUUUACAGUGAAAGUGAGACUCACCAGAAGUCUGAAUCAUAAUAUAAUAUAAACCAACUUAAAACCGAAUAACCCCAAGUCAAUCACAAGAACUUUGUUUUUCAUCCAGGAUGAUGCCACUGAGAGACAGAGUAAAGUUUACAGUGAAACUGAGACUCACUUAAACUCUGGAUGAUGAUGUUGAGAUUUCAACUUGACUCUUGUUAAUCACACAAAAUCACAAGAACAUAGUUUUUUUUCCUUGAGUUCAUACUACUAAAGUACACCUAAAGGGAAGUCUGAGUGUUAUUUACUGUUUACAGUGAAACUGAGACUCACCAGAAGUCUGAGUUAUAAUACAUCAACAAACUUAAAACAAAGUAUUUCCAAGUUAAUCACAAGAACAUUAGUUCUUUAUCCAGGUUGAUGCUGCUGAAGUAGCUCAGAGUCAGAGUGUGGCCUUUGUGAAGUUUACAGUGAAACUGAGACUAACUAGAAAUCUGGAUUAUGAUCCUGAUAUUUCAGCAAAUUUAACUACUGUUAAUCACACAAAAUCACAAGAACAGUGUUUUUUUUCUUGAGUUCAUACUACUAAAAUACACCUAAAGUGAAGUCUGAGUGUUAUUUACUGUUUACUGUAAAACUGAGACUCCACAGGGGAUGUGAUAGAUAAUAAAGUGGUAAUAAAGUGGUAGUGUUUAUAUUUUACAGGCAUAGCUGGAGGACUGAAUAAUAAUUGGAUAGUUAAUGACUGAAAAGGAGGUCUUUAAAGUUUGUAUUGCUUGAAAGUGUUGUGUGGUUACUGAGUUUUUUAAGUUUUUCUCAGAUAGAAAUCAGUUUUCAGAGUUUCUCUGUGUGAAUUCUGGUCUUCACAGCUGAGAAAGUGGAACAGUGAUGCUUGGCAGAGGUGGUGUGAAGGGUUUUCUCUUGUCAAGACUGUAGUUUCAUGUCCUGGACACCCACAUCAUAAGAUCGAGGGAUGUGCAAACACCUCCUUGAAGACACGGUACAAACUUUUUGUGAUUUACUCCUCCAUGUUAGGACUGCAGAGGCUUUUUAUGCAUUGUGUUCAUGCACAAGCUUUGUACUGAACGUGUGCAUACAUAGCCCGAUCCAGAGAGCACCACUUUAAGUGCUGAGGAUGUUGCACCAUGUUCCAGUCCUGCGUACCUGGUCUUAAAGUCUUCAAUCGUAGCUCGUUUGUCUUGUUGGAUGUGCAAAGAUAACACAUGAAUGUGUAAACCAUGUUUUAUGACUGCUUCUAUGUCUUCUAUUUCUGUCUAAACUGGAGGUAGACAGGAUGAUGCAAAGCGCCAAGUAUGGCUGAAAAAGAGGGAAAGAGUCAGAGUCCAGAGUGGAUAUAAAUGAGCUGCUGAAGAUGAGAUCAUUUUUAUUUAAAAAGAACAAGGUUAAACUGCUGCUCUUUUCUGUGAUCAAAACUUUUUCAGGAAAAAAUCAGUGGACCUGCUCUGACGCCUCAUGGGAUGGGAAGCGUUAACAAGGUUUUGUUCAUCAAACCUGUUUGUUAAAUGACAUUUCAGAAAGCUCCAAAGAGCCAAUUUGAGCAUGAAAAAGUUCAAAAAUUAAAGCACAUUAAUCAAGGAGUCACUCUUUCUGAUGGUGAAGUGUAGGAGCACCUGUAAUACGAGCCCCCCCGGGGAUUACAUGAUGAAUUACAUGUCUGAUCUGAGCGAGGAUAACCAAUUACACGCAGAUUUAACCCACACCUGCACCAGUGUGCAUGCAUUCAAUGCAUCUUUACUGUGUCAUUAAACCUAGAUCUCACAGUUAAAGAAGUCAACGCUAUCUCAUCUGUAAUCUCUUUAUGCUUUAGAAUAAACUUUGCAUGAAUUUACAUUUUAAUUUUUACGCCAGAAAUAAAACUUAAAGAGAGACGCAACUGGAUCAUGGACUACAAGGACACGAACCCAGGACUGCAGGGACACUGUUGACUAAUAGUCAUGUCAUUCCUGAUCUUUAUGCAAAAGAAGGCCUCUUCAGUCUUCAUUAAAGGGAUAUUUCGGUAUUUUUGGAGUACGGUCACAAGUUCGUGUUCGAGCCAGAGUCGUACUGUGUGUUUGCAACUGAAAAAAAGAACGAUGGUCUGUCUGGUGGAAAAUUUCUCAGGAGAGUAAAAGUUUGUUAUGGAAGCGUAUUGCAUUCAACAAAAACAUAAAAAUAAAUAAAAGCUCUGUUUUUCAGACUUUUUUUUCAGACUAAUUUUCUGUUUUUCAGACUGUUUUUUGUGUGUUUUUCAGGGGGGGGUUUUGUUUUGUUUUUCAGACUAAUUUUUUUUCUGUUUUUCAGCCUUUUUGUUUUGUUUUUCAGACUAAUUUUUCGAAAGGAACAAAAAAAAACUGAAGAAAAAAAGUUACAAAAACAGAAAGAAGAAAAAAAUUAAUCUAAAAAGAGUAAAAAAAAUAAUCUCAGCAGAGUAAAAAAAAUACUCAAAAAAGUUUCCUUUUUUUUUUUCUUUAGGAAGUGAAUGCAGUACUGUUCCGCAGUUUGUGUCAGGAAAUCUGAAAAUUUACUGAAUCAGAGUCUACAGAAAACUGUAGCCUAGUCCAAAUGCUGGACCUCGUGGCGGUUUCUCAUUAAAGGGGUGGAGCUGAGCUGAGCGACUUCUAUCGUAGCUUAAACACUAAAGACACUCGGGGACAACCUCACUUCAAAAAUACUGAAAUACUCAAACGCAGCAUUCACUUUACUUUAGAUUUCCCACAUAUAAAAACAAAAAUAUGAGAAUAAAGUCACCAGAAAACAAUUUACAAAGCUACAAACUGAAACAUCAAAUUAAACUUCAGAGAGCUCUUCAGUCUCCUUCAUCCAGGGGGAGCUCAAGUUUAGAGUCCAGUUUAAUUAAAACCUUUAUCGUUUAUUUUGUGUUUUUGUUUAUCAGUCUGCUGUGUAAAUGAUUCAGAUGUCAAGGUGAUGGCUCAGCCUGUCGUGACUCUGUCGUGUCCCUCACUCUGUGAACCUCUGCUCUGGUGUUUGUGCAGAGAUUCAGAGGACUUAAAGCAUGUUAAAAAUGUCAAAUAUACUCAUCCUGUGAAAGAGGAAAGUAUUGUAUCCCUGCAUUGCCCUGGAAACUGUGACUACCAUCACAAACAUGACUAAGAUGCUGCUGAACCAAGUAAACACAACAUGAAGUUGUUUGAGAGGAAGGCAUUGUGGACUUUUUAAAAAAAAGGUUGUAAAAUGAUGAUUAUCUUCUCUUUUAAAGGACAAAGUCUGGAAAUAGUGCGAAAUUCUGUGCCAGAAAUAAAUCUGUCAUUUUUAACACGAGCGAUAGAGAGAGCGCUCUUUCAUUGUGUGUGAAGAUUUAAGACAAACGCAAACGCAGCAUGAAAAGCGGCGAGCACAGCCUUCGGUCAGCCAGCUUUCAGCCUAAGAGAGCUUUGCUGUUUCACAAACUGCCAAAGUGGCUUUAAGGCAGCGUGUUGGUGCAGCUCUGUAAACGCUGAUAGCAGUCGUCAGAGGAGAGCGUUUCCUUCAGGCGUUUAGCUGAGGGCAGGUUGUCACACAGCAUGACCCUGAGGAGGAGGAGGAGGAGGAGAAGGGUAUGAUGGAGGCCGGUGAGGAAAACAUCAUCUGGUGAGGAAAAGUGUCUUCAGAUGUGAUCAGCUCCUGCUCUGAGAGGAUAAUGAAAUCCUCUGUGCAAAGAGAGAAGAAAGAGGACAGAGUGAAGGGGAGGUGGAAAAUUGUUUUCUCAGGUCAGAGGAUUGGAUUUGAAAAGAGUCAAAGAUUGAUGUCACACGUGAAACCGAUGAGGAGAGGAUGAAGAGGUAGAGAAGAGAAACCCAAAGCCUGUCAGCGGCGGGGACAUAAUAACAGAGAAGAUCUCUCUCUUUUCUGUCUGUGCUUCUCUGCAGGGAUGAGAUUGUCAGCAGAACAAACAGGUACACUGAGUGAGUGCAGAUGGUCCACCUCAACCACCACAUGUCCUCCGUCCUCCCACCACACCGACACAACGCCAAACCAUCCCACAGGACAGGUGCUGCCAUCUUGUGUGUUUGAAGACGGUCUCUAAUAAGGGCAGCUGGUGAGCGGGGAUCACUCUGUCAAUGAAAAUGUUGGCGUGAAAGAUCAGCUCAUUCUCCUUCAUGAGCGAAUCUGUGUGCUGGUUCAAGCUCUGACUGCCUCUGUUCUUCUUCAGUCUUUGUGAAGCGUCAGGUUUGGCGAUUUGGAGGCCGCCCUCUUGGUUUGUUGGCGUGUUUGAGGAGAUGGAGAAGCUGCAGAG